CAACGGGCAAGUCUAGUCGACAAUUCGCGAUAGAACUAACCUACCGCAACAUUUAACCCACAUUCCGAUUGGCAAAACAAACAUCGAUGCGUUGCAGUGUGGCACACGUACACUUCCCGAACCGACAUCCAGAACGCUCCCGGGAACUUUGAGGAAUUUUACUACGAUUUGGACUACUUGCAAAAUACUUCCUCUCUAACUCCGGGAACUCCUUUUUUUCGCUCACAACUGAUGAAGAUGGCCGCAGUGAUUGCAGUUGCCGCCGAUGAAGUUGAACCACCACUGGUGCACUCACCACUCAUCAUUGUUGCACUUUGCCAAGGAUUUCCGUGUUUAUAUUUGGCGGAUUCAGCAGUGUAGUGUAGCUCCUGCGUUUCACUUGUUUUCGGAAUUGCACACCACCAGCAGGAGGACUUUUUGCACACUAUUUGCUAGCGGGGCUGUCGCUUGUAUUCCUUUUUUAACGACUAAUAAUAUUCACAUGCGCUAGAAAAUGUCCGUUGAACUUCACAUUUUUUUUCGCUGCGAACCAGUCGACGAC